UACGGAGGGUGCAAGCGUUGUUCGGAAUCACUGGGCGUAAAGGGCGUGUAGGCGGCCCGCUAAGUCUGAUGUGAAAGCCCGAGGCUUACCCUCGGAAGUGCAUUGGAGACUGGCGGACUGGAGUCCCGGAGAGGAGGGUGGAAUUCCUGGUGUAGCGGUGAAAUGCGUAGAUAUCAGGAGGAACACCGGUGGCGAAGGCGGCACUCUGGACGGUGACUGACGCUGAGGCGCGAAAGCGUGGGGAGCGAACCGG
rnacentral:rRNA from 1 species